UACUUUUUAUUUCAAACAGGAAAAUUUAGAACUUGUUGUUGGGAUCACUGUUGUUCUCGAGAAUCUUAGAACCAAUUGUAGAAAACAGGACUUUGCUGUGUUGCUGAUAAAUUUUAGCAAAAAUGAAAAUUGUAUGCACUGGAUUUCUUUUUGAAAAAUUAGCUUCGGUUUCCUGUUUGAUAAUGCUACUGAAGAUAAUCUCUCGUUACCAUAAAUCUUCUUGUUAAUCGAAAAUGAAUAUCUGGAUUGGUUUCUGCGCCUGAUUUUGGAAUUAGCAUCGAUCAUCACUUAGAC